AUGGGCGGAAGCCGAUUCACACCACCACUCAUGGAUGCUCGUGUAAGCCGCCCAACCAGAAGUAUCAAAAUCAAUGAGUUGAAGCCAAGCUCUGACCAGGCAAAAGGCUGCGUCAAUCGCGGGGAAGAUGGAAUCGUCGAUUCAGAAGUGCACGGUGAUGAAGGUGAAGCAAGCAGCUGUCGCCGACCAGCUCACCAACCCUGCCACACGGAGCCAUACAUGUGCAUCCUAUUUUACUGCCACAUGACGACGCAGGCGAUGCCAAACUACGCUUCAUCGAUGGUCGGAAAGGACGGCACCGCGGUGGAGGCCGUGUUGGUGUGCCACGCCGACACGGCCGCAUGCAACCCAAGGGGGUGUGGGCCCCUCAUCAUUCUUUCUUCCAAUCAAAUUCUCCCAGAUAAGCUUCCCCGUAAAAGCCCGUUGUCAUCUGUCCGUGCGUGUAGCAAAGCUCGUUAUCGUCUCCAGCGCACAAAACCAUUGAUCUCCCCCGCAUUUACUUUCUCCAUGUACUUUUCACCUCCUCCCAAUUUUCCCUUUCUCUUCAUCUCCUCCGCCUGGCCCCCCUACAUCAGUCGUUGCAAAACAACCAGAUUGAAUCCCCUCACAUUUAUCAGCGAUGGUUGUGCUUAUGGCGCGGUGCCGCUGCUAGAGAUCCGCGGGAUGCUGCCGACCCCGAACCCCGUUGUCGGUGAAUCAAGCCCCGCUCCACUGUCGGCGUCCUCCUCCAACAUCAGUUGUACUAAAGGUGGGAGCUCUCCUUCCUCUCUAUCUCAGAUCUUAGCGGUUUUUUUCAUUGUGCCCGGAGAGGUUAAUAUUUGGACUGUUCGUGAGUUGGGAGGUUGA
rnacentral:rRNA from 1 species